CAGAGGGUGCAGAAGCAGAAAGACUGAAAGGAAAAGAGGAAACACAACAAAACAUAACCCUGCUUGACAGAGCUGACGGUUCAAUCUCAAGUGUUAAUAUCUGGCCGUCACGUGUGGUCGCAAAUCAACUAAGGAAACAGACAUUGAACACAACCUUCCCUUACCCUCCAAAACUCGUGACAACAGAAUGCCGAGUUUACUAAGAAAUGCCUCUGUCUUUUAAUCAUUUUUAAAGACCUUCUGUGCAGGCAAGUAAUCAGGAGGUAACACACUG